UACAGAGGGGUGCAAGCGUUGUUCGGAAUUACUGGGCGUAAAGCGCGUGUAGGUGGCAAGAAAAGUCGGGUGUGAAAUCCCUUGGCUUAACCCAAGGAAGUGCAUUCGAUACUCUCUCGCUUGAGUACCGGAGGGGAUGGCGGAAUUCCCGGUGUAGAGGUGAAAUUCGUAGAUAUCGGGAGGAACACCUGUGGCGAAGGCGGCCAUCUGGACGGUCACUGACACUGAGACGCGAAAGCGUGGGUAGCAACAGG
rnacentral:rRNA from 1 species